CUGGUAGUUGGCCAUACAUGGUCUUAACAUAAAGGUUCCUAAGUCACAAUUAUGUUGGCUUAAUUUGCAUAAUAAUGGAUUUUUUAUGGCAUAGUCUUUCUUCAAUUCUUUACAGCUUGAAAGAGAAAUUUACUGAUAAAAUACUCUGUUCCAUCCCCAGAUACUUGAGGUCAAAGAGUACGGUGUCUUGUGAUCCUCUUCUAUUCACUGAAUCAGGGUGUGUGAUAAGAACAACACUUCUUUUUUCUUAAAUGCUGUGAAGAAAAUUUUCUAGCCAAAGGAAGCAUGCUUGAAUACAGAUGUGCAGAAUUAUGGGAACUGCUGAGUCACAUCCUGAAACACUGGUUAAUUACUUAAGGAAAGGAUGGAAUCAGCCAUGGAAGCACAGGUGAAGAUGAUUCACCUGUGUGACCUCCUAGACCCCUCUUAAGGCCUGACUGCCUCCUAGAGAAGGUUCUCUUUCAGAAGAUCUUGUAUUUGAGAAGCCUCUCCAGCAAACUUAGAUCUUCAGAUACAGGUGAGCAUUCCUUCCCUGUUUGUUUCUUUUUCCAUUUUCACUACGAUAAUCUUUCCAGCUGUAACAUCAACUGUAACAGCUUACAAUUAUCCUAAUGGACUACAGCAUUCCACAAAAUCAUUAAGGUAAUCAUGCAUUCUGAUGACUGUGCCCCUUAUGCAAACAUAGCAAGAUAUACAGAUGAUUGUGAAUAAACUGGGAUAACCAGGAGACAGCUAGCUCUGAAUUUGUACCCUGGCCUCUGUAAAACAAGCUAUAUACAACAUCACAAUUAUAGCUGGAGCACAGGAGAUUAAAGGCACCUGAAGAUUAGCCCUUUUUGCCAGCAGCUUAUUUAGCAAUUACCCUCUCAUAUAAAACACUGACAAAUCCAGAGUAUGUUUUCUCAUACUCUUUGUUUAGGUGCAAAACUCAUCUUUGCUGUUGGUGGAUAUAUACGGCUUCAGGCUGGGUUCACACUUCAUGCUGUCUUAUGUGCAAGGGGCUCAGCUAGAGAAGUAGAAGGAAGAUACAAGAGGACAGAGAGAGAAGCAGAGACUUCAGACUGCAGGUUUGCAUAUCUAGUAUGUGAACGGUGUUUUGAAGCAAGCUCAUUCUGCUCUGUGCAUGUUAUGUUAACCAAAAGGCAGCACUUUUUAUUCAUUGAUGUCUGCAAAUCAGAAAAUUCACAAAACCUUUCUGAUUUUGAUGGACUUCCAGCUGCUGCUGCAAUACGGACACUGUCCUGCAACACAGCUUUAAGUGACGUGAAUUCCUUUUGCAGAUGCUGUGUUGCAUGCAGGGGAUAUUUACACAGAAUAAGCUUGAAUGACAUUCAUUUAAUUCUUCUCUUUGAGUAGCAGCCAGGGAAAGCUGAGAAAGGAGGGGCUGCUUGUGUGUUCCUGCUUUUUUGUGUAUAUUCCAGACAAUAGAACAUCUGCCAAGACUCUGAUAGUGGGCUUUCUUCCCCGUAAAUAAGAACAAAACUUCAAGCAACAGAAGCAUUCUUAUAUACGUGAAUUUGGCAGCUGACAAAUUUCUGGUAUGACACACAUGAAGCCUGUGCUAUUAGCUCAAAUGUCUUGAAAAUUAACAUGGAGAUACUACUGUUGAAGGGCAGAUGAAGAUGUGACAUGAGUGAGCUGCUUUUGAAUGAUAGAAUACUGACCUUUAGAUGUGAACCUGAACUGACCAAAGAGCCAGUAGAUUUUUUCUUAGUCUAAAUGAGGAAGAAAUCCCAAAGGGAAAAGUGCUGCAUAUCAACACUCACUCUCAUUCUAAAGAGGUUUCCAGCAGAGCUGGCAAUUGUAAAAGAUGAAAAUGUCAAUGUAAAGCAGUGCAAAUGAGUAACCAAAGCAGAGAAUUUGCUAAGGAAGGUAUGUGGGAGGCUCCUCCUCCUGUGUGACCUUCAAACCUGUUAGUGAAUGUUGAGUUCAGGCAAAUUUGCUCUGCAAUUUCUACUGCAAUUGAAAGAUACUGAAUUCAAACUUAGUAUUUCUCAUGAACAUUAUUUUCCUCACUGUUUGAUAUUUUAAUUUUGUCAUGUCAUCUUCUUCUGGGUGUACUUGUUUAAUAUCUCAUUUAAAAAAGCAACUUGAAUGAAAUGCUGUUCAGGUGAAAAUUAUGACUGCUGCUGAAGUUCUUGAUUGUGGCUAAAGGACCAUUUUACUUUUUGCAGUAGGACAAAGUAAUUCUGUCCAGUUGCUAUUUUUUGCUGUCUUCAAGAGAAACAAAUGAAUCUACACUUCACUAGGUCAUCACUCUUCUAGUUGCUAGGACAGUUAUUAAACUUAAUGUUUUUUUGUUUGUUUUUUUUUUUCUCAGAAAAAGUUUGUGGCUGAGCAAAUACUACCUCAGUGC
ensembl:lncRNA